rnacentral:rRNA from 1 species
GAUGAACACUGGCGGCGUGCCUAAUACAUGCAAGUCGAGCGAAUGGAUUAAGAGCUUGCUCUUAUGAAGUUAGCGGCGGACGGGUGAGUAACACGUGGGUAACCUGCCCAUAAGACUGGGAUAACUCCGGGAAACCGGGGCUAAUACCGGAUAAUAUUUUGAACUGCAUGGUUCAAAAUUGAAAGGCGGCUUCGGCUGUCACUUAUGGAUGGACCCGCGUAGCAUUAGCUAGUUGGUGAGGUAACGGCUCACCAAGGCAACGAUGCGUAGCCGGCCUGAGAGGGGGAUCGGCCACACUGGGACUGAGACACGGCCCAGACCCCAACGGGAGGCAGCAGUAGGGAAUCUUCCGCAAUGGGCGAAAGUCUGACGGAGCAACGCCGCGUGAGUGAUGAAGGCUUUCGGGUCGUAAAACUCUGUUGUUAGGGAAGAACAAGUGCUAGUUGAAUAAGCUGGCACCUUGACGGUACCUAACCAGAAAGCCACGGCUAACUACGUGCCAGCCGCCGCGGUAA